rnacentral:rRNA from 1 species
CCUACGGGGAGCAGCAGUGAGGAAUAUUGGUCAAUGGGCGCGAGCCUGAACCAGCCAAGUAGCGUGAAGGAUGACUGCCCUACGGGUUGUAAACUUCUUUUAUCAAGGAAUAAAGUGAGGCACGUGUGCCUUUUUGUAUGUAUUUUAUGAAUAAGGAUCGGCUAACUCCGUGCCAGCAGCCGCGGUAAUACGGAGGAUUCGAGCGUUAUCCGGAUUUAUUGGGUUUAAAGGGGGCGUAGAUGGGUUGUUAAGUCAGGUGGGAAAGUUGGAGGCUUAAACGUAACAGUGCAAUUGAUACUGGUAGCCUUGAGUGCAGGUGAGGUAGGCGGAAUGCGUGGUGUAGCGGGGAAAUGCUUAGAUAUCACGAAGAACUCCGAUUGCGAAGGCAGCCUACUAAACUGCCACUGACAUUGAUGCUCGAAAGUGUGGGUAUCAAACAGGAUUAGAUACCCGAGUAGUC